GGCCGCGGGAAUUCGAUUGGAUCGCCCUUAGAGUUUGAUCAUGGCUCAGGAUGAACGCUGGCGGCGUGCUUAACACAUGCAAGUCGAACGAAGCACUUUUAAUUCUUCGGAAGAGAAAGUGACUGAGUGGCGGACGGGUGAGUAACGCGUGGGUAACCUGCCUUAUACAGGGGGAUAACAGUUGGAAACGACUGCUAAUACCGCAUAAGCUGGCGAAGUCGCAUGACUUAGCUGGAAAAGAUUUAUCGGUAUAAGAUGGACCCGCGUCUGAUUAGCUAGUUGGUGGGGUAACGGCCUACCAAGGCAACGAUCAGUAGCCGGCUUGAGAGAGUGAACGGCCACAUUGGGACUGAGACACGGCCCAAACUCCUACGGGAGGCAGCAGUGGGGAAUAUUGCACAAUGGGGGAAACCCUGAUGCAGCAACGCCGCGUGAAGGAAGAAGUAUUUCGGUAUGUAAACUUCUAUCAGCAGGAAAGAAAAUGACGGUACCUGACUAAGAAGCCCCGGCUAACUACGUGCCAGCAGCCGCGGUAAUACGUAGGGGGCAAGCGUUAUCCGGAUUUACUGGGUGUAAAGGGAGCGUAGGUGGCGAUGCAAGUCUGGUGUGAAAGCCCGGGGCUCAACCCCGGGACUGCAUUGGAAACUGUGUUGCUAGAGUGCAGGAGAGGUAAGUGGAAUUCCUAGUGUAGCGGUGAAAUGCGUAGAUAUUAGGAGGAACACCAGUGGCGAAGGCGGCUUACUGGACUGUAACUGACACUGAGGCUC
rnacentral:rRNA from 1 species